UACAGAGGAGCCAAGCGUUGUUCGGAAUUACUGGGCGUAAAGGGCUCGUAGGCGGCCAACUAAGUCGGACGUGAAAUCCCCAGGCUCAACCUGGGAACUGCGUCUGAUACUGGAUGGCUUGAAUCCGGGAGAGGGAUGCAGAAUUCCAGGUGUAGCGGUGAAAUGCGUAGAUAUCUGGAGGAAUACCGGUGGCGAAGGCGGCAUCCUGGACCGGCAUUGACGCUGAGGAGCGAAAGCCAGGGGAGCAAACGGG
rnacentral:rRNA from 1 species